GACGAACGCUGGCGGCGUGCCUAAUACAUGCAAGUAGAACGCUGAAGGAGGAGCUUGCUUCUCCGGAUGAGUUGCGAACGGGUGAGUAACGCGUAGGUAACCUGCCUGGUAGCGGGGGAUAACUAUUGGAAACGAUAGCUAAUACCGCAUAAGAGUAGAUGUUGCAUGACAUUUGCUUAAAAGUUGCAAUUGCAUCACUACCAGAUGGACCUGCGUUGUAUUAGCUAGUUGGUGGUGUAACGGCUUACCAAGGCGACGAUACAUAGCCGACCUGAGAGGGUGAUCGGCCACACUGGGAAUGAGACACGGCCCAGACUCCUACGGGAGGCAGCAGUAGGGAAUCUUCGGCAAUGGACGGAAGUCUGACCGAGCAACGCCGCGUGAGUGAAGAAGGGUUUCGGAUCGUAAAGCUCUGUUGUAAGAGAAGAACGAGUGUGAGAGUGGAAAGUUCACACUGUGACGGUAUCUUACCAGAAAGGGACGGCUAACUACGUG
rnacentral:rRNA from 1 species